GACGAACGCUGGCGGCGUGCUUAACACAUGCAAGUCGAACGUGAUUUUCGUGGAAAUUCUUUCGGGAAUGGAAAUGAAAUGAAAGUGGCGAACGGGUGAGUAACACGUGAGCAACCUACCUUACACAGGGGGAUAGCCGUUGGAAACGACGAUUAAUACCGCAUGAGACCACAGAAUCGCAUGAUAUAGGGGUCAAAGAUUUAUCGGUGUAAGAAGGGCUCGCGUCUGAUUAGCUAGUUGGAAGGGUAAAGGCCUACCAAGGCGACGAUCAGUAGCCGGUCUGAGAGGAUGAACGGCCACAUUGGAACUGAGACACGGUCCAAACUCCUACGGGAGGCAGCAGUGGGGAAUAUUGCACAAUGGGGGGAACCCCUGAUGCAGCGACGCCCGCGUGAAGCGAAAGAAAGGUUUUCGGAUUCGUAAAAGCUUC
rnacentral:rRNA from 1 species